UGUAUGCAUGCAUGACUAAAUCACUUUGGAUAAAAGUGUCUGCUAAAUGGCAUAUA
rfam:Salmo salar isolate Sally breed double haploid chromosome ssa11, whole genome shotgun sequence.